rnacentral:lncRNA from 1 species
GGCUCCGUUUCAGUAUUUUCUUUUUUCUCCUUCUCUGAGUUGGGGGGGGGCGUGUUGAGAAAAACUGGAUAUUUAUUUUGGUCGUCUUCUUUCCAUUCGCAGAACCAAUUAUACUUUGGUACAUGAUCCAGAGUAACUGUGUGUAGCCGUCUUCCGUCUGGCAAAUGAUGAGUUGAUUAUUUUCAUGACCCUUUAAAGACAGCUCAUUGAUGGGAAGGUUCAGCCCCCCAUCGUCCUGUUUUUAAACUUUUGCUCUCCUGAAAUCGGUUGAUGGUAUCAGGAAUGCGGCGUCCAGUUCCUGCGUGCAGCUUGGCUCUUGUGUGUUCCGAGGAAAAUACAUUUAAGGUUUUUCAACUGAAAUCUCAUAUGGACUGAAGUCCAGAUCCAGUGGCCUCUGAGGGACCUACACAGUCUCAUGGCUUCUGUCACUCGGAGGAGGCUUAGGUAGUCCCCAAACCAUGGUGUUUUCUAAAAUAUUAGGAAAAUCGGAAAUCAGGACUCAGUUUUUUCCCCUCUGCAGAUUCCUGCCCGCUCUGGAAUUAUUUUCCUCCACCAUUCAAAGGUGUCUGCUGAGAGGUCAGAGUGUUGCAGAAUGCGUGCCUUCAUCUCAGAAUUGUUCAUCACAGGUGGAUCCCGUGCGUCUGCUGUAGACCAGUCAUCUUCGUAGCCAGCGCCGUGCCACACCGCGCCCCCUUUAGUCUUGAGUGCCCUUCCUGCAUUUAUUGGUGUAUUAAAAUGACUGAAUAUGAACAUUAAGGACUCCAUGAACCCGGGCUAAUGGGAGACGGUAGCGAGAAUGAAAAAAGAUCCACCAAAGGACAUCUAGGGGGGAGGGUGCUUGGGGGGGAGGGCAAUGACUAAUGAAGCUAAUUAGAAGAGGCAUCACGAAUCUGCUUUCUACCCUCAUUAACAAUUAGCAGGGCACCGGCCGGAGUGUGAGCCCUGUUUUACUCUUAACUACAUUCUGUUUGCUCUUUGUAUAUUUAAGUGUUGUAAUGAGAUGUGUUUCAAUCAAACCUGAACAUGAGUUAAAAAGGAAAGAGACGUGGCUUUUGUGAUAGUUC